rnacentral:rRNA from 1 species
CAUGCCUAACACAUGCAAGUCGAACGAGUAAGGGUCUAGCAAUAGAUACCUGCUAGUGGCAGACGGGUGAGUAACACGUGGGAAUCUUCCUGAUAGUAUGGAAUAACUACUGGAAACGGUAGCUAAUACCAUAUACGCCCUUCGGGGGAAAGAUUUAUCGCUAUCAGAUGAGCCCGCGUCGGAUUAGCUAGUUGGUGAGGUAAUGGCUCACCAAGGCAAUGAUCUGUAGCUGGUCUAAGAGGACGAUCAGCCACACUGGGACUGAGACACGGCCCAGACUCCUACGGGAGGCAGCAGUGGGGAAUAUUGGACAAUGGGCGAAAGCCUGAUCCAGCAAUGCCGCGUGAGUGACGAAGGCCUUAGGGUUGUAAAGCUCUUUUACCAGGGAUGAUAAUGACAGUACCUGGAGAAUAAGCUCCGGCUAACUCCGUGCCAGCCGCCGCGGUAA